rnacentral:rRNA from 1 species
AUUGAACGCUGGCGGCAUGCUUUACACAUGCAAGUCGAACGGCAGCGCGGGCUUCGGCCUGGCGGCGAGUGGCGAACGGGUGAGUAAUGCAUCGGAACGUGCCCAGUAGUGGGGGAUAGCCCGGCGAAAGCCGGAUUAAUACCGCAUACGACCUGAGGGUGAAAGCGGGGGACCGAAAGGCCUCGCGCUAUUGUAGCGGCCGAUGUCGGAUUAGCUAGUUGGUGGGGUAAAGGCUUACCAAGGCGACGAUCCGUAGCUGGUCUGAGAGGACGACCAGCCACACUGGGACUGAGACACGGACCAGACUCCUACGGGAGGCAGCAGUGGGGAAUUUUGGACAAUGGGGGCAACCCUGAUCCAGCCAUGCCGCGUGCGGGAAGAAGGCCUUCGGGUUGUAAACCGCUUUUGUUCGGGAAGAAAUCCUCUGGGCUAAUACCCCGGGGGGAUGACGGUACCGGAAGAAUAAGCACCGGCUAACUACGUG